rnacentral:tRNA from 1 species
GGUGGCUCAGUGGUAGAGCGUUUGCCUUGCAUGCAUAGGCCCUGGGUUCGAUUCCCCAGCACCA